AAACCGGGAGCCAUUGCACAUGCGCAUACUCUGAUCCUGCCUGUUGCUAUAAAAGCUAGAGAUUCAAGAAGUGACAUCAACUACAAGCAGAUUAAAAAUAAACAACUCCUCAGGUUCUCGUCUGGGAAUUCAAGAUCAAUGUCAACUGUCAAGGUCUUUUCGGUCUUCAUGAGAAGGAACCUGUUCAUGUGGCUCCCCAACCACCAGGGGACCUCAAAAAGUUCAUGGAAAAUGGAAUUCAAAGGUGGCUGAGUGCUCAGCCAGGAUGCUUCCUGGAGGCUGUUCUCAUGAGAAACCCACUGGUGAUUCAAUUAAGCUGCAUCAAUGCUAAAUGGGACUCCCCCA